CUCCCGACUGUUUACCAAAAACACAGCACUCUGCUAACUCGUAAGAGGAUGUAUAGGGUGUGACGCCUGCCCGGUGCUCGAAGGUUAAUUGAUGGGGUUAGCAUUAGCGAAGCUCUUGAUCGAAGCCCGAGUAAACGGCGGCCGUAACUAUAACGGUCCUAAGGUAGCGAAAUUCCUUGUCGGUUAAAUACCGACCUGCAUGAAUGGCGUAACGAGAUGGGAGCUGUCUCAAAGAGGGAUCCAGUGAAAUUGUAGUGGAGGUGAAAAUUCCUCCUACCCGCGGCAAGACGGAAAGACCCCGUGGACCUUUACUACAGCUUGACACUGCUACUUGGAUAAGAAUGUGCAGGAUAGGUGGGAGGCUUUGAGUAUAUGACGCCAGUUGUAUAUGAGCCAUUGUUGAGAUACCACUCUUUCUUAUUUGGGUAGCUAACCGGCUUGAGUUAUCCUCAAGUGGGACAAUGUCUGGUGGGUAGUUUGACUGGGGCGGUCGCCUCCCAAAUAAUAACGGAGGCUUACAAAGGUUGGCUCAGAACGGUUGGAAAUCGUUCGUAGAGUAUAAAGGUAUAAGCCAGCUUAACUGCAAGACAUACAAGUCAAGCAGAGACGAAAGUCGGUCUUAGUGAUCCGGUGGUUCUGUGUGGAAGGGCCAUCGCUCAAAGGAUAAAAGGUACCCCGGGGAUAACAGGCUGAUCUCCCCCAAGAGCUCACAUCGACGGGGAGGUUUGGCACCUCGAUGUCGGCUCAUCGCAUCCUGGGGCUGGAGCAGGUCCCAAGGGUAUGGCUGUUCGCCAUUUAAAGCGGUACGCGAGCUGGGUUCAGAACGUCGUGAGACAGU
rnacentral:rRNA from 1 species